AGGUGAUCGAGUGGUUAAGGAGAUGGACUGCUAAUCCAAUGGGGUUUCCCCGCGUGAGUUCGAAUCUCAUCCU
rnacentral:tRNA from 1 species